rnacentral:rRNA from 1 species
UACGUAGGUGGCAAGCGUUGUCCGGAUUUACUGGGCGUAAAGCGAACGCAGGCGGACCUUUAAGUCGGAAGUGAAAGGUUGGAGCUCAACUCUAACACUGCUCCCUAUACUGGAGGUCUUGAGUGCCGGAGAGGAAGACGGAACAAGUUGUGUAGCGGUGAAAUGCGUUGAUAUAACUUGGAACACCAAUGGCGAAAGCAGUCUUCUGGACGGAUACUGACGCUCAGGUUCGAAAGCCAAGGUAGCAAACAGG